rnacentral:rRNA from 1 species
UACAGAGGUCUCAAGCGUUGUUCGGAUUCAUUGGGCGUAAAGGGUGUGUAGGUGGCGCCGUAAAGUCGGGUGUGAAAUUUCGGAGCUUAACUCCGAAACUGCAUUCGAUACUGCGGUGCUUGAGGACUGGAGAGGAGACUGGAAUUCAUGGUGUAGCAGUGAAAUGCGUAGAGAUCAUGAGGAAGACCAGUGGCGAAGGCGGGUCUCUGGACAGUUCCUGACACUGAGACACGAAGGCCAGGGGAGCAAACGGGG